rnacentral:rRNA from 1 species
UGUUUCUUAUUCAGGCGCCGUGAUAAGAAAGAAGCUGGAUAUGCAGCAUUUGUUGCAAAGGGUUGGUCAGGCUGGAACAAAAAACAUAGACUAAAUGAUCAUGUCGGAGAUGUCAACAGUGUUCACAACCAAGCAAAAAGAGAUUGUGAUGCUUUAUUGCAACAAGACCAGCACAUUUAUGUUGCUUUCAAUAAUCAAAGCAAUGCUGCGAAGAAGGCGCAUUAUACUAGACUAAAUGCCUCAAUUGAUGUUACUAGAGUUCUAUUGCAGCAAGGGUUACCUUUUCGCGGCCAUGAUGAGUCAGAGGAGUCCUUGAAUAAAGGA